UGCACCAACGAAUUGAAAGGAAGAUUUAGUUCUCCAUGUAAGUGGUGGCUGCUCUAGGGUUUUCUAAUUUCCGUGAACAGUGAAUUAAUAACCCUAGCUGCCUUAUUUCGGUUUAAAUAAUACAUGGAACGGGCCUUAAAACAAUUGGGCCGAAAAAUAUAAAGUUGUGCUGAAUUAAAUUCGUCUGGAACAUAAACGCAGUUAUUGGACACACUUGCGCUCCGAACUGGGUUUUGGCCUCAACAUGAAAGUCGUAGCUCUUGAUCUCAGCUUUCCAACGCAUCUUUCCGCGCCUCAAUCCGAUAUUUGUAACUCCAGUUAUGACCUGCGGACCGGAAGGGUGUCANNN
rnacentral:lncRNA from 1 species